UUGGUGCGUCUCGNCGCAUGUUAUAUAUAACUUUCAGCGACGGAUCUCUUGGCUCUCGCAUCGAUGAAGAACGCAGCGAAACGCGAUAAGUAAUGUGAAUUGCAGAAUUCAGUGAAUCAUCGAAUCUUUGAACGCACCUUGCGCUCCUCGGUAUUCCGAGGAGCAUGCCUGUUUGAGUGUCAUGAAAUUAUCAACCCCUUCUCCUUUAUUGGUGGUGGGGCUUGGACUUGGAGGCUUUGCGGGCUUUUAAACGAGUCGGCUCCUCUCAAAUGCAUUAGCUCGAACCCUUGCGGAUCGGCCAUCGGUGUGAUAUAAUGUCUACGUCGUGGUCGUGAGCGUCGGAUCGGCUUCCAAUGGUCUCCUUUCGGAGACGGAAUUUGAACUUGUGACCUCAAAUCAGGUAGGACUACCCGCUGAACUUAAGCAUAUCAAUAAGCGGAGGAAAAGAAACUAACAAGGAUUCCCCUAGUAACUGCGAGUGAAGCGGGAAGAGCUCAAAUUUAAAAUCUGGCGGCGUCCUCGUCGUCCGAGUUGUAAUCUGGAGAAGCGACAUCCGCGCUGGACCGUG
rnacentral:rRNA from 1 species